UACGUAGGGUGCGAGCGUUAAUCGGAAUUACUGGGCGUAAAGCGUGCGUAGGCGGUUCGUUAAGUUCGUUGUGAAAGCCCCGGGCUCAACCUGGGAACUGCAAUGGAAACUGGCGGGCUUGAGUGUGGCAGAGGGGGGUGGAAUUCCGCGUGUAGCAGUGAAAUGCGUAGAGAUGCGGAGGAACACCGGUGGCGAAGGCGGCUUCCUGGACCGACACUGACGCUCAUGCACGAAAGCGUGGGGAGCAAACAGG
rnacentral:rRNA from 1 species